rnacentral:rRNA from 1 species
UACGUAGGGGGCUAGCGUUAUCCGGAAUUACUGGGCGUAAAGGGUGCGUAGGUGGUUUCUUAAGUCAGAGGUGAAAGGCUACGGCUCAACCGUAGUAAGCCUUUGAAACUGGGAAACUUGAGUGCAGGAGAGGAGAGUGGAAUUCCUAGUGUAGCGGUGAAAUGCGUAGAUAUUAGGAGGAACACCAGUUGCGAAGGCGGCUCUCUGGACUGUAACUGACACUGAGGCGCGAAAGCGUGGGGAGCAAACAGGAUUAGAUACCCCCGUAGUCCCUGAGCGGG